UUGCUCUUCAACGAGGAAUUCCUAGUAAGCGUGAGUCAUCAGCUCGCGUUGAUUACGUCCCUGCCCUUUGUACACACCGCCCGUCGCUACUACCGAUUGAAUGGCUUAGUGAGACCUCCGGAUUGGCUUUGGGGAGUCGGCAACGACACCCUAUUGCUGAGAAGCUGGUCAAACUUGGUCAUUUAGAGGAAGUAAAAGUCGUAACAAGGUUUCCGUAGGUGAACCUGCGGAAGGAUCAUUAAUGAAAUUCUGACUGAGGCUGUAGCUGGUCCCUAGCCGGACAUGUGCACGUCUCUUUCAAAAUCCACAAACACCUGUGCACCUUUGCGUGAGUCCACUGGGGUUGUACCCGAGGGGGCUUGCGUCCUUUUCACAAACCCUUGUAUGUCUUUAAGAAUGUCUAUCUUGAUGUAAUAAAACGCAUCUAAUACAACUUUCAACAACGGAUCUCUUGGCUCUCGCAUCGAUGAAGAACGCAGCGAAAUGCGAUAAGUAAUGUGAAUUGCAGAAUUCAGUGAAUCAUCGAAUCUUUGAACGCACCUUGCGCCCUUUGGUAUUCCGAAGGGCACCCCUGUUUGAGUGUCGUGAAAUUCUCAACCCUCCUCACUUUUGUUGAUGGUAGUGGCUUGGACNUGGAGGCUUUGCCGGCUCUGUUCGGCUCCUCUCAAAUGCAUUAGUGGUGUCUCGUUGCGACCUACCCUCGGUGUGAUAAUUAUCUACGCUGUGGGCGUGCUCGCUUCUUGUGGGACGCGCUUCAAACGGUCUGAAAGGACAAAUCAUUGAAACUUGACCUCAAAUCAGGUGGGACUACCCGCUGAACUUAAGCAUAUCAAUAAGCGGAGGA
rnacentral:rRNA from 1 species